rnacentral:rRNA from 1 species
UACAGAGGGUGCGAGCGUUGUCCGGAAUCACUGGGCGUAAAGGGCGCGUAGGCGGCUUGAUAAGCGUGCGGUGAAAGCCCGGGGCUCAACCCCGGGUCGGCCGUGCGAACUGUCGAGCUGGAGCACUGUAGAGGCAGGUGGGAUUCCGGGUGUAGCGGUGGAAUGCGUAGAGAUCCGGAAGAACACCGGUGGCGAAGGCGGCCUGCUGGGCAGUGGCUGACGCUGAGGCGCGACAGCGUGGGGAGCAAACAGG